rnacentral:rRNA from 1 species
AUGAACGCUAGCUACAGGCUUAACACAUGCAAGUCGAGGGGCAGCAUGGUCUUAGCUUGCUAAGGCCGAUGGCGACCGGCGCACGGGUGAGUAACACGUAUCCAACCUGCCGUCUACUCUUGGACAGCCUUCUGAAAGGAAGAUUAAUACAAGAUGGCAUCAUGAGUCCGCAUGUUCACAUGAUUAAAGGUAUUCCGGUAGACGAUGGGGAUGCGUUCCAUUAGAUAGUAGGCGGGGUAACGGCCCACCUAGUCUUCGAUGGAUAGGGGUUCUGAGAGGAAGGUCCCCCACAUUGGAACUGAGACACGGUCCAAACUCCUACGGGAGGCAGCAGUGAGGAAUAUUGGUCAAUGGGCGAGAGCCUGAACCAGCCAAGUAGCGUGAAGGAUGACUGCCCUAUGGGUUGUAAACUUCUUUUAUAAAGGAAUAAAGUCGGGUAUGGAUACCCGUUUGCAUGUACUUUAUGAAUAAGGAUCGGCUAACUCCGUGCCAGCAGCCGCGGUAAUACGGAGGAUCCGAGCGUUAUCCGGAUUUAUUGGGUUUAAAGGGAGCGUAGAUGGAUGUUUAAGUCAGUUGUGAAAGUUUGCGGCUCAACCGUAAAAUUGCAGUUGAUACUGGAUAUCUUGAGUGCAGUUGAGGCAGGCGGAAUUCGUGGUGUAGCGGUGAAAUGCUUAGAUAUCACGAAGAACUCCGAUUGCGAAGGCAGCCUGCUAAGCUGCAACUGACAUUGAGGCUCGAAAGUGUGGGUAUCAAACAGGAUUAGAUACCCUGGUAGUCCACACGGUAAACGAUGAAUACUCGCUGUUUGCGAUAUACUGCAAGCGGCCAAGCGAAAGCGUUAAGUAUUCCACCUGGGGAGUACGCCGGCAACGGUGAAACUCAAAGGAAUUGACGGGGGCCCGCACAAGCAGUGGAGUAUGUGGUUUAAUUCGAAGCAACGCGAAGAACCUUACCAAGUCUUGACAUCCUUCUGACCGGUACUUAAUCGUACCUUCUCUUCGGAGCAGGAGUGACAGGUGGUGCAUGGUUGUCGUCAGCUCGUGUCGUGAGAUGUUGGGUUAAGUCCCGCAACGAGCGCAACCCUUAUCCUUUGUUGCCAGCGGUCCGGCCGGGAACUCAAAGGAGACUGCCAGUGAUAAACUGGAGGAAGGUGGGGAUGACGUCAAAUCAGCACGGCCCUUACGUCCGGGGCUACACACGUGUUACAAUGGGGGGUACAGAGGGCCGCUACCACGCGAGUGGAUGCCAAUCCCCAAAACCUCUCUCAGUUCGGACUGGAGUCUGCAACCCGACUCCACGAAGCUGGAUUCGCUAGUAAUCGCGCAUCAGCCACGGCGCGGUGAAUACGUUCCCGGGCCUUGUACACACCGCCCGUCAAGCCAUGGGAGCCGGGGGUACCUGAAGUGCGUAACCGCGAGGAGCGCCCUAGGGUAAAACUGGUGACUGGGGCU